rnacentral:rRNA from 1 species
AUUGAGCGCUGGCGGCAUGCCUUACACAUGCAAGUCGUACGGCAGCGGGGGAGAAGCUUGCUUUUCCUGCCGGCGAGUGGCGAACGGGUGAGUAAUACAUCGGAACGUGCCCUGUAGUGGGGGAUAACUAGUCGAAAGAUUAGCUAAUACCGCAUACGACCUGAGGGUGAAAGUGGGGGACCGCAAGGCCUCAUGCUAUAGGAGCGGCCGAUGUCUGAUUAGCUAGUUGGUGGGGUAAAGGCCUACCAAGGCGACGAUCAGUAGCUGGUCUGAGAGGGCGAUCAGCCACACUGGGACUGAGAAACGGCCCAGACUCCUGCGGGAGGCAGCAGUGGGGAAUUUUGGACAAUGGGCGAAAGCCUGAUCCAGCAAUGCCGCGUGUGUGAAGAAGGCCUUCGGGUUGUAAAGCACUUUUGUCCGGAAAGAAAUGGCUCUGGUUAAUACCUGGGGUCGAUGACGGUACCGGAAGAAUAAGGACCGGCUAACUACGUGCCAGCCGCCGCGGUAA